rnacentral:rRNA from 1 species
UACAGAGGUCCCAAGCGUUGUUCGGAUUCAUUGGGCGUAAAGGGUGCGUAGGUGGCCAACUAAGUCAUACGUGAAAUCCCUCGGCUUAACCGGGGAACUGCGUCUGAUACUGGAUGGCUUGAGGUUGGGAGAGGGAUGCGGAAUUCCAGGUGUAGCGGUGAAAUGCGUAGAUAUCUGGAGGAACACCGGUGGCGAAGGCGGCAUCCUGGACCGGCAUUGACGCUGAGGCGCGAAAGCCAGGGGAGCAAACGGG